AGGAUGUCAGCUGCCUGAGCCUCUCAAAAAGUUUUUGUGAGGACUGGAGGAGAAGGACUCAUGCAUACUAUUAAAGAAAUUUAGUACAACACAGGAACUGUCCAAAGACAGGCUCACAAGCUGGAUACACUCAUGCUUACCUUGUAACACCCUGACAUGUAACUAUUGCUAUUGUCUUGCCGUAGGUGCAAAACCUGGGCCCCUGAGAAGUGUACACAGAAUCUGUGUCUGAGAACUGACCCCAAAGAUUGGCCCUUGCUCUUCCCAUUUGUCGGAAUGAGAUCCUGGAGGGCAAGGAGACUGAAGGGGUCCAUCUUUCCUGGGGCUCACUUCUCCCAGUCACCCAGAUGACAGCUUCCAAAGUAGAAGCUUCUCAAGUGAGGGAGCCCCUCAACUGGGACCAGGGAAAGAGAUGCCAAUAUCACUACCAAUCUCACCUGACCCAGCUGAUUCCUGCUGAGCUCCUGGGACCACCUGAUAAGAAUCCUCACUCACCUUAUGACCUGUCCCUCCCUCAAGGCAGGAGAGGACGCUCCAUCUGAGCAUCAGAGGGACUAGGGCCAGACACUGCAAGCUCCUAUGUAGUGGCAGAGAUGACUGAGACUGAGGAGCCUAGGGAGAGGCCAAGGAUGGAUGUGUGAGCUUGUGAGUCCAGGCUGGAUCCAACUCUGCCUCUUACUGAGUCUUCGACAUGUCGCCAUAAAUUGUCUUCUGAGGAAGAAGCCUAAUCCAACACAGAGUUCAAGCAGCCCAGCCUUGCAGAAGCGGCUGCAACACUGAGUGCCGAGUAGAAGAGGAACUGUGUGUGGCGUAGGGUGGGGUAGGAGCAGCACUC